rnacentral:lncRNA from 1 species
GCAGACUCAUCAGGGGCAGAUGGAAAAAUACCAGGAUUGAGCCUCUCAGAAGUGAUGCUUGAAUCCAGUCUUCAAAGAUGAGGACUCCGGCAGGUGACGUGGCAAUAGCGUUUUGGAGGGACCAGUCCAGAUACACAGGCAUGGAGCCAUGCAUUUGUUCCAGAAAGUGUAUUUGGAUGGAACCGGAACAUGGAACAGGACACACAGCAGGAUGCGGAGCAGUGUCAGAUGAGGCAUCACUGGUUCCACAAAAGGUAGGGGAAGGUCUUGAGGGACCACCCCAUGCCCUCAUUAAUCAACCAGAAGCUUGGCCCGGAGCAGCAGCGGGGAUUCCAGUAGCUGUGGGCAUACAGGAUGCUAGGGCGGCCACAACCCAGGCAGCUGAGGCCGAGCCACCUAGGAACGCAGGCUCAGAGCAGACCCUCUUGGGACAGACGGAGAAGGGGAGGGGGCGGGCUUCUCUAAGUUAAGCCGAUCACUGAGCACCUCACUGGACACGAGAGAAGGCAAGCCCCUCGGAGGACAGAAGGGAAGAGCCACAGACUUGGAGGCUGUGAAAGUGGAGACAGGUGGACCUGGGGUGGCAGCAAUGCGUGAAAUGCCAGGCCGUGCCCCCGCCCCAGGAGCCCAACAUGACACCAGCCCCCAGGGAAGCUGACUGUGCCACUUCAUCCAGCGCCCAUCAGUCGCCUUGGAGCAUCAGGAAUCCUGAGGGCUGGGGUCCCGGAGGAUCACAGAUGCUGGGGCACCUCAACCUCAGGGAGCCGCUCGAGAAGUUUCUUUUCUGAAGUGUCCACCUCCUUCUGGUCACCGGCUGGAGCUGGGACAGGUACAUCGUCUG